AAAUGUUUGGUAGAAUUCACUAGUGAACACAUCUGGACUUGGUGCUUUUUGUUUUGGAAUGUUAUUCUUUUUCUUUAUAGAUACAGAUCCAUUUAGAUUGUCUGUUUCUUCUUGUGUGAGUUUUGGCAGUGAUAUGGUUUGGCUGUGUCCCCACCCAAAUCUCAUCUUGAAUUCCCACAUGUUGUGGGAGGCACCCGGUGGGAGGUAAUUGAAUCAUGGGGCAAGUCUUCCCCAUCCUGUUAUUGUGAUAGUCAAUAAGUCUCACUAGUUUUGACUGUCGAGGCCACCCCAGCCACGUGGAACUGUGAGUCCAAUUAAACCCUUUUCUUUUGUAAAUUGCCCACUUUUGGGUAUGUCUUUAUAAGCAGAAGUGGAGCCUUUAAGAGACGAGUGGCCUUGAGGGCUCUGCCCUCUUGAAUGGAUUAAUUCAUUAAUAGAUUGAGGGAUUAAUGGGUUAAUAGAUUAAUAGGUUAUGUGAGUGGGACUGGUGGCUUUGUUUUGUUAUGAAAGAGUCAGGGUCUUGUGCUUGGUCACCCAGGCUGGAGUGCAGUGGCACAAUCAUGGCUCACUGUAGCCUCAACCUCCUGGCCUCAAGCAGUCCUCUCACCUCAGCCUCCCAAGUAGCUAGGACUACAAGUGCACA
rnacentral:lncRNA from 1 species